rnacentral:lncRNA from 1 species
CCCAAAUCAAGACAUUUUAAUAUUUGCGUGGGGAGUGAUUCGAACCCCUGACGUCCCACACAAAUGUCACAUUUCCCACCACUUUGGCACUUUAUCUAAUUUGAUUAUUUCUUUCAUAUUUUAUAUUUAUACCAUAAAUAUAUAACAAGUAUGUGUGUAAGAGAGAGAGACAGCAAGUGAGUAAGCUGGUGUUUGGUGGGUCUCGAUUAUCUGGAAUACUGUAACUCUUUUUUUUCUCCCUUGGAUAGAAGCAAUCGAUGAGACUAAAACUUGCUAAAGCCAUCUUAAGCAGCGAAGUCAAGAGAGAGUGAGGAGUUCGUGAUAUAUUCGAGGGUGACGCUUAUGGCAUCAGCCAACGAGCCGUCAUCAUUGGUAAUGGAUUUUCGACUUCCGAAAUCCUAAGCAUUGACUUCGUAUAUGU